UUAGCAAAGAGAAUAUUUAUUGAUCAAUAUUUUUACGUUAUAAUGUAUACACUAACACUUAAUUCCAUAUAUCACCAUAUUAAGUACACAUUUGUUCACUACACUACACCAUCAUAUACACUACAUCAUACCCUAUAUCCUAUACACCACAUACUACAUCCACGUGUGCAUCAAAUACAACAUUUCGAAAAGGACAAAAUAAAAAAGAAAAAGAAAUAUUUUAUUCUCCAGCUUCAAGCCUAGCCGAGCAUUGCCCUUAUGCCCUUGUUUCCAUAAUUUUCAUGCCAUGGUCAACCUCAUGUCCAAGCUGCCAAGAUGCCAUUCCAAGCCAAGUCACUUUCUUUCUUCAACUCCAAGCCAUUAGUCUCAUGUGUAUAAGACAAAAACAAAAAUAGUCACUUAAGGGGCCACAAAAUUUCACAAGCAUCAACCGUAAAAACACACACCAAAAACUUCAAAAUUCACACCAAAUUAAAAAUUCAAACAAACAAAAAAUUCUAUUUCACUUCAUCUAACAAACUUACUAAAAUUCAAUAUAAUCCUCUCUUCAACAUUGCAAAACUUAAUCCUAACCAUUCACUUAAGUAUCUCACACGAAUCACAUUCAAACUCUAUCAAGAUUCACCCUAGAUAAACACUAAUUUAAGCUAAUUCACUCUCAGCUUUUCCCUCCAAAUGAUAACAAACUCACACACAUUUAGUAAAUUUUCCACACGUAGAAACUACCUUAUAUAACAUAGCUAUUAUUUCAUUCAUUACCAUCCAUAUUUCACUAUUGUUACUCUAUAAAAUUUCCCCCAUUCAUCCUCACUUAGAGCUUUCAACCUAAGCUUGAUUCAGAGUUUCACAUUGAAACUCUUAACCAAGCGAGCUACCUAGCCUACGCACCACAUAAUACAACAACAACAUUCAACAAUAGCAAACACAGAGGCAUCAAUGAAAACAAGUAGAAAGUAAGGGGAGGAUGAGAAGUAAACAAGCAGAAAAAAUAACAAAAAUCAGAGAGGUACCUUUGAGGAUUUCAUCUCUCCGAGAUUAUUCAUAAUAGGUAGGCUUUCUCUUACACUAUUUAGGUGUAGUGAUUUUUUCGUUGGUGUUUCUUUGAUGCUUGACUGAAGUGGUUGUGUAUUCCUUUGUUUGCUUCGAAUUCCUAUUAUGGUGCUUGUUUCUAUCUAUUUUUAUGCUUGGAUUGAUGUUUACAUAAGGUGAUAGGUUCAUUUUUGGCCUAAUUUAGGUUUGUUUGUAAGGUAGUGUGAGGUUAGAUUUUUUAUUUAGGGAGAUUUCGAUCUAGUGUAUGGCGAGGGCUUUUGUUUGUUCGGGCAUCUUAAUUCGUUGUCAAGAGGGGAUUUAGAAAAGGUUUCAUGUUGAAGGUAUUGAGUUUUGGUGAGUUUAGGACCAGGUUAGGGUUUGGUAAAAAAGUAUAGAUCCUUGGAACUUUGUAAGUAUUUUAAGGUUUUUAAGGGUGGAUUUGAAAUCAGGAGGUUCGUUUAGGGUAUAAGGUUUUAAGUUUGUAUGGUGGUUCUUCACAGAAGAAGACGGUGGCGCCAUUGCCUUAGUCGUCUUCUCUGGGGUGCUUCGUAGCAUAGUGAGAGAAAGAGUGUAGAUGAGAAAGAAUUCAGAUAUGGAAAGGUGAUGGAGAGAGAACGAUGAAGGAGACAAAUGAGAGGGAGACUGAAUGUGUACUCUCCUAGGAAUUUUGUGUGUUUA
rnacentral:lncRNA from 1 species